CGGUCACCUCGGCUGCUUUGUUCCCGCAUGGUUUUUCAUCAAUGGGCGUCGAUUCUUCUGUCUUCUCGAAUACCAUUAAGUAACCAUUUCAUAUUCCAUUAAAGUUAUUGUUAAUAAAAGUAAUGCCAAUCACUUAAGUUAAAAAACGUAAAAAUAUCUGUAUGGACUGUGUCAUUAACGUCAAACGAAUCUCAAAUGUUGGAUAUUUCAGUAUGAUGAAAACGUGAUUUUCUCUUUUUACUUUAUUUUUCAUCAUGUCAUCUAACAUCUGAACUUGCCAAUUCCAAAGAGUAACUGUUGCUGUACAGGAUGAACUAUAACUUGUAUUUCCAUUAAUUUUGGUAAAUUCAUUUUCAUGAAGUUGUUAGAGUUUGUGGAAUCAUUCCACUGGAGUGGGGUGUGGUAUUCAGUCCUGUACGCAUCUGCUGUUAUUCUAAAACACCCUUCUUUACUUUUUAUUCAUAGGACCUAGGAGGCUAGGAUAUGAAUUGUUAUCUCCAAUAUAGUUGUGGGUGUGUGGUUAAACCUGUGACAUUUUUCAUCAUAUAAAUGGCAUGUAAAUGGUAACAGCCUACAAUUCAUACUUGGCAAUUCCAUCUGACCAUUUGGCCUGAAACUGCUGUAUACAUUUUCCCAAAGUGUUGUCUCUUGCUGCAUGUUUCAUCGCAUGCAGAAAUACUUCAAAACAGAAGAAUUAAUUAUGUUGAUCAACUUUUUAACCCCAAGGUUACACAUGACUCUGUUUCUGAUAGUAAUUGAGUUUUUAUUUUUCUAUAACAGCCUGGUGAAGUCCGAGCUUCUUCAUUGAAGCAUGUGCAUGGGAUCUGGUGUGGCUGCCAUGUCAUGAAGGUUUGUCUUUAGGAGGUUCUCUACUAUAUUGCAAGACAAAAAUGCGACGAAAACCGGAAAUAUGAAAUGGUUUCCAUGAUCAGUUUGAUGUUUGAGCUGUUUUGGUGUUGCCGUUUGGUGUGCAGUGGUUUCCAGUUGAGAGAUGCGUUGAAAUGGAGCUUGUGCAGACUUGCAGUUGAACGAGAAAUGAAUUAUUUCAAUUCAAUGGAAAAGAUAAUUGUUUUUGUUGUAGUACCCAUAGUUACUGUUGCAGCCAUUGGCCCAUUGCUUGUGAAAGAUUGUUGUGCAUCAAGUUAACUUGUGGCUGUUCCUUGGUGCUGGUGUCUUGUUCAGGCAGUAUUUUGUUCAAUUUGCAUUAUGUCUGUAUAGUUAACCAUUUACAUGUUAAGAAGGAAAAACAAAAUAUGGGGAGUUUUUACGUAAAGCAUAUAAUAGACAGAUCUUCGCGUUGUGAAAGCGACGAGAAGGUAGUUGGGAGGGGGGGGGGAGAUUUGAUUUUCAUAUUAUAGAAGAAAUUGGGGGUUAUCAUUCAUUUAUUAUACCGAUAUAGAAAAUAGGUAUAUAAGCUCCUCAGCCACACCCAUCCCACUGAUAAUCAAAACACAGUACCACAUAUCCACCCAGUAUACAUGCACAUACUGUGAACUUCAGUCCCAUAAUUAUACCACCUACAAACCCAGGAUCAAACUACUUAGUUAUCCAAAGUGUGGAUAACUAAGUAGUUUUAUGUCAAAAUAAUAUAACAUGUACAAAUAUUAACUAAUAAACAAGCAUACUAUAUUACAAAAUUAAAGAAAAUUUAAUAAACAAAUUUUCCGGU